CGUCCGCUCCUCCUAUCCUCUCCCAGGGCGGGAAAGGGACUGCAACAUACCCUUCCCACCUGAUGUGGAGUGUUGGAGGAGCAGAUCCGAAGGCGAGGAGCUUCUUCCUGCCUCUUAACAUACUUUAGAAUUCUUGAGCCCUGACAUGGAAGCAGCCUAAGUGUCCAUGGACAGAUGAAUGGAUAAAGAAGAUGUGGCACAUAUAUACAAUGGAAUAUUAUUCAGCCAUAGAAAGAAACGAAAUUGAGUUAUUUGUAGUGAGGUGGAUGGACCUAGAGACUGUCAUACAGAGCAAGGUAAGAAAAUACACCCAAGUUGCAGUCGGGUUUGAACAGUGAACACUGAAGAACUGGCGACUUCAUAGUAAUGUAAACUGCCCGACAUCUUUUAGGUGCAUAUUCAGUGCCUCUCAGUCGCCCCUGUAGGUGCUGACAAGUAUUGGAGUCUCUUACAAACGCUGGGACUGGGGAAAGCAGAUUCCCGAAGAGCAAGCGUGCAAACACCAAACAGAGCCCAGAGUUCUGAUGGACGGUGCUAACGGCGAUAGGAUGCUGCAUCCCACGAAUAUAAAGGAACUUGUCUACUUUUUCAGAUCUACAGUUUCUCUGGCACUUGCUUUGGACGGUGAUUGGACCCACGCAUACUUAAAAGAUAAAAACAGGUGAUCUCCAUGCCUAAUUACAAUAACUGAAGUAGCACCCCAAGGAAGUAGCUAUAAAGUGAACUUGAAAGUACUAAUUAAAAAAAUGCAUCUCAUCUGUAACUGGUUUGUUGAAAAGUCUAAAUUUAUUAGGGAUAGAAAGUGUUUUUUAACUUUUGUUGAAUCCCCUCUGCCCCCCGCCGCCCUUUUUUUUGGUUGUGGCUCUUUUCACGAAAUCUUGACCAAAUUCUAACUUUCUCAUCAGCUUUAGGGUUUAAGACCAAGCCCUGUUCAUUUAAAACACUUUAAACUUGAACUUGACUUAAAGCUUGGCUCUUCUCUCCUCCCCAACUCCAGUGGAGGCCAGGGCUGUGGGCCCAGCGUCUUGGAGGGGAGCAGGGGUUUGGUUCUGAGGUUCCUCCACACCCUGCCUCCACUAAUUCAAGCUCCUGGAGGGUUGGAGCCAGGCAGGAGGUGUGAGGGCUGGCUUUGGUCACUGUCACAUGUCAGAGUGGGCAGGGGCCCCUGCUACUGGGCUGCCACUCGUCUUCUCACCUCUAAGCUCCUUCACAUGCAAGCGGAGGGUGGCUGGAGCUUCCCCAUCUUCUCCCCAGGAGCAAGAAACCGGGGUGCCUUCGAGCUCUGUGGGAGGGGCUCCUCCCACCAGCAGGUUCCCCGGAAGCUAUGAAGAUGGUCAAUUCCUGUCCUCAAAGAGUUUAUGAUGAAGGGUAGGAAACAGAUUGGCAUGACUGCCUACUAAUAGUGCCUUCAGCUUCCAUCUGGGAGAAAGCAAGGACCCAGUCGUUCAAGACAGCAGGGAGUGGGAGGUGGAGACGCCCCCGGCGCAACUCUGACCCGGAUACAGCCCUGAUCCGAAUUGUUGCAAGUGAGGUUGAACUCAUUCCUUCCUGUUCCCCUAGUGUGACGCGGGGGUCACCCAGCUAGCAAUGGAAGUGACUCAGAAGCCUCCCAACUCACAAUGAUGCGUAAGUGGAGAGAACAUUCAUUGAACUGGAAGAGAGGUGCGUUCGAGAUAACAAAGCUCAUGGGUUGCUGUCUUGGAUUCUCUUAUAAUCCUCCCUCUUUCCCUGGAACUAGCCAUACUGGAGUUUAGCCCUGAGAUUAGUUCUGUUUUUCCCUCCUCAUUAUAUAUCACAAAUUCCCUCAAAAUUGUUUUCUGUUUGGGUCUUAAUAUAGAGUCAGGUAACUAACGUUUCCAUGUACCUUCUGGUUUAUGGAUAAACCAGCUCUUGAAAGCGGUAACCUGAGAGGAUGGUCCCUAAGAAGGGAAAUUAGUGGUGAGAAUUUCAGACUUGAGGCAGA